rnacentral:lncRNA from 1 species
CACAUCAUUGGAUAAUAAUAUGUAGCAUAAAGCACCAUGUUCAAGUACAGGGUACAACGGGUUGCGGGAGAGUGAACCGUUGAAUAUAGAUGGGGGAAGAUGAUGGAGAUGUUGGUGAAGAUGACGAAGGUGUUGGUGUAGAUCACCGUCACACGAUGAUGUCCCGGUCGGCGUUCCGGCGCCGCCGGGAGAGAGGGGGAGAGAGACCCCCUCCUUCUUCUUCCUUGACCUCCUCCCUAGAUGGGAGAAGGGUUUCCCCUCUGGUCCAUGG